UGGCACCUGGACAGGGACCCAAGAAGAAGGGGUAGCGACAGGUUCCCGAAGAUUCUGAAGAGGAAUAAGAAUUACGUUCCCAGUGAGGAACAAGACAGAAGCCCACGGCACUUCAGGGGACGCAGAAGAAGACAUCCCGGUGAGUACUAACUCACGAUAGAAAUCUGGGUUAUAGCAUAGACUAUAAUGGGGCAAGAGCUCAGCCAGGAAGAAUUGUUUGUUCAGGGGUUAAAGGAGGCCCUUAAGACUAGAGGAGUAAAAGUAAAAGUUAAACAAUUGCUCACAUUUUUUGAUUUUUUAAAAGAUGCCUGCCCUU
rfam:Tupaia chinensis contig6550, whole genome shotgun sequence.